CAACAAGAAACGCUUUAUAUUAAUUCUUUUCUUUCGUUAGAGAUCUACUAAUUUGCAUCCUUUUAGUCUUAAAUCUAUUUGUUGACCACCAUUUUCCCGUACAAGGAGAUUGAAUUCUUGUUCUGAAGAAGAGGUUACAGUGACAUGGAUUCCAUGGAUAUGAGCUCAGAAAUCCUCACAAGAAUUGGGUGCAUACUUCUUAUGUUACCACUUAUGGGUUUCUGGCUCAAAUAGGAAAUAUAUUAACAGAGUUUCGUUCUCCCUAAAUUUAGCUCCAUUAAAACACAAACGACUUGGGUUUCACUGUGUCAUUUUGAUUAUUGUGUUCUUCACAGUUGGUGCAAUCACCCUUCCUUCAUCAGAUAUUUCAAGAUUUAAAAAUCAUUUAUAUGGGCGUUGCAUUUCAAGGUUACUGUGCUCUUCAAGGUUUCUUGACCGCCAUUUUCCCAUAGAGGGAGAUUGAAUUCUUGUUCUGAAAAAGAUAUGAGCUCAGAAACACAAGCGACUCGGGUUCCAUUAUAUCAUUUUGAUUAUUUUAUUCUUCACAGUUGAUGCAACCAUCCUUCAUCAGAUAUCUCAAGAUGACAGAGCGCCUCAGAAUUAAGGAUUCCUUUGCGCUUAGCUGGACAUAAAGAUGAUAGAGUAUGACCAUCAGGAAAGUGCUUAACAGAGGCAAGUGCAACAAAACCAGGAAAUCCAAGAUGUUGUCCUCUUACCUGAUGAGGUGUUACUGUCUCCUCAGAGAUUCAGAUGCAAAGACAAAGAAUCUCUGCCAUCUUCUUUCGAAGACAAUCUCCAUACACAACGGAAGGGAAUUGAAUAUUUAGAUAGAGCCCAAGGAGCUGCGGUAAGAUGCCAGGCACCUGCACAAAAUGUCCAAUGGUCUGCAAAAUCAAUGACCCUAGUUGACAACAUUCAUAACCCAGUUUUAACUUUUAACAGAGACCAUGAAAGUGAAUGCCGAGUUUAUGAAUUCCUCCCAGCCCAUUGAAUCACAUCACAUGGUAUAUGAGAAGUUCAUUACAGAUUAGGAUAUUUUUCUGUUUGCCAAAGGUAUCAACUAUAAACAAGGACUAAAUGUUGCAACACAAGACCUCCGUUGCAUCUUCAAUGACACAAUAGAAACUACUGUAACUCUAUUUGCACUCUGCACAAGAGAUCUUUAGGUGUGAGCAUCGAGAAGAAGAACAAGUACUUCAUCAGUUGCUUGGAUACAAAAUCACUCUGUCAAUCCUUGGAAACCCUAUUCCUUCUGUUGUUUAUUAUGACAUCCCACCAUCUUAUGACAGACCUCUGCAGUAUGCUCAUGUUAGAACUGCAGAAAGCAAGAUGAAACUAUGUGCCUGCACCUUGGUGUUUAUCUCUGGACUCCGGCCCCUUCUCGCAGCGGAUCAACCUGGGUUCGCUCCAAUGGACGCAUACGCUGCCAGUUCAGUCGCCAAGUAUACAGCAGCAGCAUCGCAGGGCCUGCAAUAUGUUAGGUUCAAGAUGGUUCCGUGUGGGGUAAAUUUACUGCAUACGCAUCCAUGAGCUUCAGAAAUGCUUACUCUUAUCUCAGGAGGGCCUCUUCAAGUUGGUUUUGUUGACACUCAAGGUCAAGCUUUCAUCGAUAUUUUGCAUUCUGGAGAUAUGACCAUAUUUUCGAGGGGGACACUGGAUUUUGAGCUUAAUGUUGGAACUGAAGAAGCUAAUUAUAUCUCUGCUCUCAACAGUCAAAAUCCUGGUGUUGUGACAAGCAGCGUGUCAAUAUUGAAGCUUCCAUUGAAAAGUGUGUCAACAGCUUUCAACAUCACCCAACAAGCUGUAAAGAAAUUAGAUUCAACGAUAUAUGCCAGUGCAAUGGGACUGAAAAAAACAUCCAAAAGCGGUUGUGUUCCAGGAAGAGAUAUUACUGAAGAAUUUUUAAUUAUAUGUUGAUUCCCACUCCCCCACAAUAAAUGGCGUCCAUUGGGAACCAUAUGCCCCGACCCGGCAUAAUGUGAGCAGAUAUCCAUUGCCAAUGGCUAAGACACAGGAAGCAGAGUUUUCACACUGUUCUUUCAUGGCCAGGGAAAAGUUCCAAUGGAUGUUGUAUACCGAUGUGGGUGAGUUUGUAUUCUCUGAUUCUUGGUUGAAUGAGCAGGUGGGUCCAGAGGACAAGGGCUUUCAGGAAGUAAAACCCAACUGCAAGGAUCUUACUUCAGUGGCUCUCUUGAACAUGGUUAUGAGUCUAAGUUCACAGAGGAACAGCCUUCAAGAAUUUCCGAAUCUCAUAUCAGGCAACUUUCCUUCAAGUGUAGGAAUUUUGGGCCAUCAAGGCAUACCGAACACCCUGAGAGGGAGGCAGGAGAAAAGGUUCAAGAGAGGCAGAAGAAAAGGUUGCAGUUAGUUGUUGAUCUGAUCUUGGUUAUUUUGCAGUUACGUUAGAGGAGGUGAUAUUGGAAACAAAUUUAAGAUUCCUUUGUGCUUAACUGGAGGUUUGCAAGAAGGAUUUUGAAGAAAGACAAUAGAGUACAACCUAAAGGCAUGUGCUUCGGAGAGGAAUCAUUUUCCAACCACUGAAUCUGACUGUGCUGCACAGCCAUGGAUUUUUAUUCAUCCAAGAUGUUGUCCUCUUACUUGAUGAAGUGUUACUAUCAGUCCCACUGUUUUUUCCAAAAUUCAGAUUUGGAGACAAAGAAUCUCUCCAAUGGUUCUUUCUCAAACAAUUUCUAUACACAACUGAAGGAAACUGAAUAUUUAGAUACAGCCCAAUUUUCCCACUUCCUUUUCAAAGCGUUUUUGCCUUUGUAUUUUUUGUAUUUUUUAUUUUUUGUUUAUUCGCUUCUUUGGAUUUGUUCUUGGUUUCUGAUGUGAUUCCUAUCUUUUUCUUUUUAUUAUCAAAUCCAAACUCCAACUUUAAUUUCAACUCAUCCCAUCCCUUCUUAUCACCUUGAGAAUUUUUCUUAGCAUCUUAUUUCAAAAUAUUUUUUUUUAUUGCUAUUCGUAGUUUCUCUUUCUCUGUAUUUAUUUUUUCAUAAUUUCUUUUACGAUUAUAAAGAUUCCUAAAGUCUCAAACUAGAAAUUAAUUUAUGUUUUUUGCAAGUUUAAAACUUGUCAAAGUUUUUUUUUGUAGUUCCUGCUCUUCUUGUUUUUCUUUUUCUUUUCUUCGUUUUUCAGCUUGUCAAGCAGCCUAUCUUUUAAUCUGCCUAGCUUUUAUCGCUUUUUUGUGCUCUUGGAACCUUUUCUUUAGUUUUUGCACUCUUUCUAAGCGUUUCUGCUAAUCUUCUAGCUCGAAUGCCUUUUCCAGGUUCUUAACUUCCUUUGGAGUAGUUGCGGAUUCCAAUUUUUAUAAUCUCUGUUUUAUGAUCUUUUGUCUUUCUUGUUUUCGUCGUCUCCUUUCCUCUUUGAUUUUUCGAAAUUCUGAGAGUUUACUUCUUCUUUGGAUAUUCAAUUCCCUUCAGUUUGUAUAAAAAUUGUUUGAGAAAAAACAUUGCAGAGAUUCUUUGUCUUCAAAUCUGAAUUUUGGAGAAGGUGGUGGGACCAAUAGUGACACUUCACCAGGCAAGAGGACAACAUCUUGGAUGAAUAAAAAUCCAUGGCUUUGCUUCAUAGUCAGAUUCAGGGAUUGGAAAUGACUCCUCUGUGAAGCACUUGCUUGUAGGUUGUACUCUAUCAUCUUUCUUCCAAAUCCUUCUUGCAGACCUCUAGGUAAGCACAAAGGAAUCCUUAAAUUUCUGUCUGAUAACAACUCUAACGUAACUCUAACUUAACCAAUGGCAAGUGAACAACUAACUCAGAAAAAUUAAAAUAGGGAAUGCCUAAAAUUCUCAGCUGCUGUCAUCUAUUGCAAGCACAAGAAGGUUAUCCAUUAUGGCUACAUAUUACAAGGACAGAAAUACUUCUGUGGCAGUACCAGCGUUUGACGAUCCAUAUCAUCUUUGACUAAUACUUCUGUGGCAAGUUUCCUUCAAGUGUAGGAAUUUUGGGCCAUCAGGGCUCACUGAACACCCUGACAGAGGGGUAACCCAAAGGUACACUGCAGAGAGAGGCAGGAGAAAAGGUUCAACUCCAUAGUUUUGUUGGAAGCUGCCUCUACUUCAUUGUUUAAUGUAAUAAACCUUUUCCAGCUGAAGAAGGGAUACAGGACAUUGUAUGUUCAGUCCUCCAUGGCAAUGAUAAAUCAUUAUACAUAUUAAGCAUUGAUUGAGUUUAAGGUCAAGUUUAGGAGGCGAGUAACUGCCUAUGUUGUGGAUUGGAGUGAGUCUAAAUAUUCUGCUUCUCAGGACAGAACACCUGGCCUUAGCAAUAAGGCCAUUCAGCCAGAUGAUUGGGAACAUAGAUUUUGUGAGGUGAUAGAUACUGCAUUGAAAGAUUUUGCAAUCAGGGUGUUUUCAUUGAGUAAUGAGCCAACUUCCAAACUAGAAUGGCGAUUAUAAAUCUAAUGUUUAAUGCUCAUAUACCUCAAAUUCUGUUUACUUGUAUAUAAUAAAAAAUCGGUAUUUGAGGGGUGAUUCAUUGCCCCAGGUUUAAACUUGACAAUUUGAACUUAAUGCCAAAGGCAAACAGGGUAGAUCAAUCUGUUACAGCAUAAGCCAUAUUUGAAAUCAUAAAAUAAUUUAAAAGAGCAUAAUUGUACCAUGAUAUGUU